GGCGUCUUCCCGCCGCGCUUUUCUCUCCGCACCCUCUAGUCCCCUCUUCCUCCCCCACCGUCUUCUCCCGGAACCGCCGCCUCGCCCACUCCCUUCUCCGCGCUCUCCAGGUGCGCGCGCUGCUGCGUCCUGCGUCCUGCGCCCAGCGGCCCCGGAGCUCUGCGCCCGCGGCCCAUUGGAGACCUCGGGAGUCGCAGCCCGGGAGAGGGAGAGGAGGGGAAGGAGAGAGUGGAAACGACCUUUGAAAGUGGGAGAGGGGGAGAAUAAGGUGGGGAGGAGGGAGAAAGUGCAGGGAGAAGACGGUGUGAUAGAGAAAACAGUGGAAGAAAACGCUGAGGCGAGGGCGGGACAGAAUGCAGUGGGGAGAAGGCCGGGCGCUGUGGCUGAAGCCUGUAAUCCCAGCACUUUGGGAGGCUGAGGCGGGCGGAUCACGAGGUCAGGAGUUCGAGAACAGUCUGGCCAACACAGUGAAAAACCCCGUCUCUACUAAAAAUACAAAAAUCAGCCGGCUGUUGUGGCUCGCGCCUGUAGCCCCCGCCACUCCGGAGGCCGAGGCAGGGGAAUUGCUUGAACCUGGGAGGCGGAGGUUGCAGUGAGCCGAGACCGCGAUGUUGAUCUCCAGCCUGGCCACAGAACAAGACACCGUCUCAAAGAAAAAAAAAAGAAUACAGUGCGGAGAGAGGGCGAAGAUGGUGCGAAGAAGACCACGGGGAGAGGGAGAAGAGGAACCUUUAGGAACCUUGGUAACUGAUCAUAUGCUUUCCAAUGUGGCAAGGCUCUGAAUCCUGUUUCCCGUCAUCUCUUCAUGUCUUCCCAUUGAGAUAUCAAGAGAGUUUCAUCCUAUUAUUUUGUUUACGCUAGGAAUAUUUCAGCUUGGCUAGACCUGUUUUCUACUUGAUACUUUUCAAUUUCAAGUUUGACAAACCCAAAUGUGCCCCUUUACCAGUUGUUUCUGUCUCAGGGAUUGGUUUCUCACUGCACUGUGAUACAGAUGAAGCCGAUGACUCUUUCAGCUCAUUAUCCCCAGAAUGGUUUUGUAUAUUGUUGACGCAGAAUAGACACCUAAUAAAUAUUUCUAAAUUUUUAUUGCUCUUCCGUGCCACAAAACAGAAAUCACUUUUUUUUUUUAGCAUGAAUUAUAUGCCCUUCUAUUAUCUUGCCCUGAACGGUUUCUCAAAUCUUAUUUCUUCCCACUCCCCCAUUUGUUUCCCACACUGUAGCCGUUCACAAGUACUUGGAGGUCUGUCAACUCUCCAUGCUAUUUAUAAUAAUCAACACUAAUGAAAAGAAAAGGGACUUUUUAGCAGAGGCAGAACUCAUUAUUUUCUAAAAAAUUAUGCAUAUCUCCCGGGUUAAGUAGUGUCCCACAGAAAGUCAUGUCCACCUGGAACCCGAGAAUGUUAAGCUAUUUGGAAACAGCGUCUCUGCAGAUGCACUUCGUUAAGACGAGGUCACAGAGCAUUCGGGUGGGCCCUAAAGCCAAUGGCUGUAUCCUUAUAAAUAGGCCAUGGGAACACAGAGAUCCACUGGGAAGACGGCCAGGGGACAAGGGAGGCAGAGUCUGGAGUUAUGCUGCCUACAGUCAUGGAAUGCCAAGGACAGCCAGAAACCACCAGAAGCUAAGAGGAAGAUUUUACCUGAAAGCCUCCUAAAGAAAUCAGUCAUACUCAUACUUCCCUUUUGAAUUUUUAGCCUCGUGAACUGUGAAAAAUUAAAUUUCUAUUGUCUUAA